AUUGAACGCUGGCGGCAGGCUUAACACAUGCAAGUCGAGCGGGGGAAGGUAGCUUGCUACCGGACCUAGCGGCGGACGGGUGAGUAAUGCUUAGGAAUCUGCCUAUUAGUGGGGGACAACAUCUCGAAAGGGAUGCUAAUACCGCAUACGUCCUACGGGAGAAAGCAGGGGAUCUUCGGACCUUGCGCUAAUAGAUGAGCCUAGGUCGGAUUAGCUAGUUGGUGGGGUAAAGGCCUACCAAGGCGACGAUCUGUAACGGGUCUGAGAGGAUGAUCCGCCACACUGGGACUGGAACACAGCCCAGACUCCUACGGGAGGAAGCGGUGGGGAAUAUUGGACAAGGGGGGGAACCCUGAUCCAGCCAUGCCGCGUGUGUGAAGAAGGCCUUAAGGUUGUAAAGCACUUUAAGCGAGGAGGAGGCUACUUUAGUUAAUACCUAGAGAUAGUGGACGUUACUCGCAGAAUAAGCACCGGCUAACUCUGUGCCAGCCGCCGCAGUAA
rnacentral:rRNA from 1 species